AGCAGCUACCGCUCCGGCGGUGGAAGGACUUGGCCUAGCAACCACUCCGAGCUCUGAGUAAACAUCUGCGAGGCACAAAAACACGGGAGAGGCAGAGGAUACGCACAAUCCCUUUAGCCUUAAAACUUUGAUGGCGAGGGAAAGGUUCUCGCCGCCAUCCGCCGACCCUCGCCUCCAAGUUUGGAUGGAAACUUCGGGGGCGGCAGAGGGUGAAGCAGUGAAGCGGAAACUUUUCCAGGGCUGAGAGGCUGUUCGGGAGAGCUGCACAGCGGCGGAAACGAGCGACGAGGACUAGACAAAAACACAAACGCACGCUGGUUGGCUUCUACAACGGCCGGCGGAUCAAUGAGAGGGCCCGGACGGCAGCCUAACAAGGCGGGCGAUAGAGUGGCACCAGCUUCUGAUCCCGACGGUGGAGACGGAGCCUCCAGGGCGAGGGUGCAAGCGGAAGCGGGAGGCGUGGAGAGAGGCGGGAGGGCUCCAGCCUGGCAAAAUGUAUCAGGAAGGAGAGUAAUGAUGGGAAAAGGAGGCGACAGGGACGGGAAAAGGUCUCCGAGGCGAAAGUGUUAGCGGCGGAAGAAGCAGCGGGAAAGCAAGUGCAUUGCGUCUAUAGGAGGCUGCCUCUCUGCUGCAAUGCAGAGGAUUCCCCCACAAUCCCUCUCUGUCGGUCCCCCUCCUCCCUGCAUGAAGACAGAGAUGGAAGUGUGUCGAUGUAACACUCUUUUUGCAGCAGACGUGGGCCCACGUACCCCCUCGCCACGUACGUGACCCGUGUGUCGGGCAUGAAUGACAGCGACUCCAACUCGACUCAACGCGGGUCCUGUCCAUCUUAAUAAAUUCGAACAUUUCCUGCCGAAUUUCUACAUUAAAAAUCAUUUCCAUUACUUCUUGAUUGUUUGUUAAAUAAUAUUAUAGUUUUAAGGGAUGGUGAAUUUGGGGUUUUUGUUUGGUGUAAGCUAUAAUCAUCAAAACUAUACAUACAUUUGAAAUAUAAGUAAUAUUUCACUGUGUGUCGUUUCACUUCUUGAACUACAGUACCUAACUAAAUGAAGCUUUUGACACUAUUUUAGUGGAUUGUGAUGCACCUAUAAAUAGUAUGCUCACAUGUAUUGAUGUAUGCUGCAGUGUGUUCUAGCAAGUUGUACAAUAUUUGCCAUUUUUUCCAAAGUAAACGACGCUUGUGUAUGCAUGUAUGUGUGCUGAACGCGGUGGGAUUAAAAUCCGAGGGUGGCCCGGCUUUGGGAAAGAUCAAGAAAAGGAUGAACGCUAACAGUUCUGUGAAGAUGACGAGCGCUCACACGUCCGUCAGAAUGAAUUUGGUUAUCGGCGACGUCGGCUAAAUUAGCAUCGAAACGAUUCCCGCUGACGGCCGCCUAUCUCCGCAGCCAAAAUGUCCGUGUUUAUUGCAGGAGUUGAGGAAGAGGUAGGAGGAGGAUGAGACUCUGCGGUAUGGGGGAGAUCAUAAAAAGAGGGGAGAUUAGGUGGGAGGGAGGAUUUUGAGAAAGAUGCUAGCUUGCGAGACUUUUUAACAGCCCCUAUUUCCUCAAAUAGUGGCUGCACCUUGAAUGAACACCAUUCCACAAACGCUUGCUGAGUGAGCCAUGGACGUAAAACGGUUGAGACGACCAAUUUUCACACGCGGAUGUUAAAAGCACAUUUUUUUUUGCCCACUUGAACCACGUUAAUAACCAAAACAGCAGCACCAACGCACAUAAACGACACUCGGAACAAAUAAAAAUGCCCCGAUACUACGCAUCGAUAUUAAUUAAAAACACCGAUGACAACACUUUAAGGAGUCUUCAAAUUAUGCUCCGCAAAACGGACGAUAACCUCCACUCGGCACGUCAAGAGACAAACGAUGGCGUGAACGAUGGCGUGAAAACUCUGUCCUAGUUUUAUCUUACAACGUGUGCAUCUCAAGAAGUUGUCUUGAAUUUCUUAUGACUUUAUUUUGCUGUUAACACACCGAGGUAAAACUUCCACUAUUCCUAUUCCUGCUUGCUUAUGUCCACCAGCAUUGACCUUCUUCUUCAUCUCUGACCAACUGAACUGUAUUCCUUAAACACGGCAACCCCUUGUGUUUAGAGGGAAACAC